rnacentral:snRNA from 1 species
GGGGAUGAAGGGAAUCUCUCUGGUACAUCUGUCACUCCAUUGAUUGCCAGGAUUGAUUUGGUUGAUCUUGCAGAUUAGGCUGGUGUCAGCUUCCUCUCUCAUUACACAUAUAUGUUCUUCCCAAAGCUGCAUGUUUGGUGGAAGUAGAUGGCCUUCCCUGAGAGACAGACAUUUCUUCACCAACAGUGUAUGAGUAGCUGUCCUCCUGGCUAGAACUUCCAAAAUGGUUCUCAAGAAGCCCUUUUCCUCCUCUUCUCUCUCUGGGUUGCUUGGCUGCCUUUCUCUGAGGCUGGUCACUUGGUCAUGGGAAGCCCGUGUAUUUUUUU